GAGGAAUGUAUAGCAAUAGCUAGUUGCAUCAUAGUAAAUAUGAUGCAAGAUUGACUAUGUUGAAUAAAAUUCUAGGUAUGAUUAUGAUAAUGACAUUGUCUGCCUAUAUGUCUUGACCAAAUUACGUGCCAGCAGUCGCGGUAAUACGUAGAAGACUAGUGUUAUUCAUGUUUAAUCGGUUUAAAGGGUACCUAGACGGCAGAUCAAGCUUUCCGAGCAGAAAAAAUAAAGAUGAAGACGGGACAAUAAAAAGGACUAAUUUGCUAGAGUUACUUACGAUGGGGCUUUAAAGUACUGCUGGUGUAGAGAUGAAAUCCUAUUAUACCUAAGUUCGAAAGAAUAAUUAUGGCACAGGUAUAGGCGAAGGCAUCCCCUUAUGUGAUAACUGACGUUGAGGGACGAAGGCUUUUAACAGCGAACGGGAUUAGAUACCCCAUUAGUGGAAGCAGUAAAUGAUGAAUGUCAUAGAUUAGCUAGAUAGGUUCAUUCUAUAAAUGAAAGUGUAAGCAUUCCACCUCAUGAGUAAUAUGGCAACAUUGGAAUUGAAAUCAUUAGACCGUUUCUGAAACCAG
rnacentral:rRNA from 1 species